rnacentral:rRNA from 1 species
UACGUAGGGUGCAAGCGUUGUCCGGAAUUAUUGGGCGUAAAGAGCUCGUAGGCGGUCUGUCACGUCGGACGUGAAAAUCAGGCUCAACCCUGGACCUGCGUUCGAUACGGGCAGACUAGAGUUCGGUAGGGGAGACUGGAAUUCCUGGUGUAGCGGUGAAAUGCGCAGAUAUCAGGAGGAACACCAGUGGCGAAGGCGACUACCUGGCCUGUUCUUGACGCUGAGGCGCGAAAGCUAGGGGAGCAAACGGG